GUGUAUUUAGUUUAAUUAAGAAUUAUUAUUUUGCGUAUAGUAGGUUGGUUUUCCAAAUAUACU
rnacentral:tRNA from 1 species